rnacentral:lncRNA from 1 species
AACUCUCUGAUAAGCACUUUUUUAUUUUUUAUUGGUCUAAUUUUUAAGCAAUAUUGGAUCAUUAUUGCACCAUUUUUUUUUUACCUUUACGUGCUGAUCUUGAUAAUCUUCCAAAUAUAUAUUUUUAUAAAACUGAGUAAAAUCUAAUGACUAGAUACGUACUAAAAGCAAUUCUUUUUUUUUUUGUAGCAGAAACAAAUAAAGUAA